AGAGUUUGAUCCUGGCUCAGAACGUACGCUGGCGGCACGCCUAACACAUGCAAGUCGAACGCAGUAGCAAUACUGAGUGGCAAACGGGUGAGUAUAAUGUGGGAAUCUGCCUUUUGGUUUGGAAUAACACGGGGAAACUUGUGCUAAUACCGAAUAAGCCCUUACGGGGAAAGUUUUAACGCCGAAAGAUGAGCCCGCACUUGAUUAGCUAGUUGGUAAGGUAAAAGCUUACCAAGGCAAUGAUCAAUAGCUGUUCUUAGAGGAAGACCAGCCACAUUGGGACUGAGACACGGCCCAGACUCCUACGGGAGGCAGCAGUGGGGAAUCUUGCACAAUGGGGGAAACCCUGAUGCAGCGAUGCCGCGUGAGUGAAGAAGGCCUUUGGGUUGUAAAGCUCUUUCGUCGGGGAAGAAAAUGACUGUACCCGAAUAAGAAGGUCCGGCUAACUUCGUGCCAGCAGCCGCGGUAAUACGAAGGGACCUAGCGUAGUUCGGAAUUACUGGGCUUAAAGAGUUCGUAGGUGGUUGAAAAAGUUGGUGGUGAAAUCCCAGAGCUUAACUCUGGAACUGCCAUCAAAACUUUUCAGCUAGAGUAUGAUAGAGGAAAGCAGAAUUUCUAGUGUAGAGGUGAAAUUCGUAGAUAUUAGAAAGAAUACCAAUUGCGAAGGCAGCUUUCUGGAUCAUUACUGACACUGAGGAACGAAAGCAUGGGUAGCGAAGAGGAUUAGAUACCCUCGUAGUCCAUGCCGUAAACGAUGUGUGUUAGACGUUGGAAAUUUAUUUUCAGUGUCGCAGGGAAACCGAUAAACACACCGCCUGGGGAGUACGACCGCAAGGUUAAAACUCAAAUGAAUUGACGGGGACCCGCACAAGUAGUGGAGCAUGUGGUUUAAUUCGAAGAUACGCGCAGAACCUUACCAACACUUGACAUGUUCGUCGCGACUCUAAGAGAUUAGAGUUUUCGGUUCGGCCGGACGAAACACAGGUGCUGCAUGGCUGUCGUCAGCUCGUGUCGUGAGAUGUUGGGUUAAGUCCCGCAACGAGCGCAACCCUCACUUUUAGUUGCCAUCAUUAAGUUGGGCACUCUGAAAGAACUGCCAGUGAUAAGCUGGAGGAAGGUGGGGAUGACGUCAAGUCCUCAUGGCCCUUACGUGUUGGGCUACACACGUGCUACAAUGGUAUCUACAACAGGAAGCAAGACUGCGAAGUUAAGCAAAUCCCUAAAAGAUACCUCAGUUCGGAUUGCACUCUGCAACUCGAGUGCAUGAAGCUGGAAUUACUAGUAAUCGUGGAUCAGCGUGCCACGGUGAAUGCGUUCCCGGGUCUUGUACACACCGCCCGUCACACCAUGGGAGUUGGUUCUACCUUAAGGCAAGGUUUCAAACCCUUGACCACGGUAUAGUCAGCGACUGGGGUGAAGUCGUAACAAGGUAACC
rnacentral:rRNA from 1 species